AUUCUGGUUGAUCCUGCCAGAGGCCACUGCUAUCAGAGUUCGAUUAAGCCAUGCGAGUCGAGAGGUGCAAGACCUCGGCAUACUGCUCAGUAACACGUGGACAAUCUAACCUAUGGAAGAGGAUAACCCCGGGAAACUGGGGAUAAUACUCUAUAGACUAUGGAUGCUGGAAUGCUUUGUAGUCGAAAGGUCCGCCGCCAUAGGAUGGGUCUGCGGCCGAUUAGGUUGUUGUUGGGGUAACGGCCCAACAAGCCUGUAAUCGGUACGGGUUGUGGGAGCAAGAGCCCGGAGAUGGAUUCUGAGACAC
rnacentral:rRNA from 1 species